GGAGAAGCAGGGGAUCGCAAGACCUUGCGCUUUUGGAGCGGCCGAUGCCUGAUUAGCUUGUUGGUGAGGUAAAAGCUCACCAAGGCUUCGAUCAGUAGCUGGUCUGAGAGGACGACCAGCCACACUGGGACUGAGACACGGCCCAGACUCCUACGGGAGGCAGCAGUGGGGAAUUUUGGACAAUGGGGGCAACCCUGAUCCAGCCAUGCCGCGUGAGUGAAGAAGGCCUUCGGGUUGUAAAGCUCUUUCAGCCGGAACGGAACGGUCACGGUUAAUACCCGUGACUACUGACGGUACCGGAAGAAGAAGCACCGGCUAACUACGUGCCAGCAGCCGCGGUAAUACGUAGGGUGCGAGCGUUAAUCGGAAUUACUGGGCGUAAAGCGUGCGCAGGUGGUUUUGUAAGUCAGAUGUGAAAUCCCCGGGCUUAACCUGGGAACUGCGUUUGAAACUACAAGGCUAG
rnacentral:rRNA from 1 species